UGCUUUUCAUGCUCUACACGUCAUAAAGUGGGCAUGAACACUUUCUGAGAGGUACUUGCAAAUUUGCAAUCCAUUUUAUCAAGACAUACAAAGCAUAUAUAUAUAUAUAUAUAUAUAUAUAUAUAUAUGGGAUGGUACAAAAAGCAUUAAGAUUUCUAUGCUUUAGGGUCGACCAAUGCUCACUAAAAGAUUUAAAGAUUCUGUUCUUCUUCUGGCUAUGGUGUUAAAAAAUCUUUUCUUCACUUGCCCACUAAGUUUCUUUUGGAUACAAAGCAAGAGCACUUGCAGCAGCAAAGAGGGCAUUGAUGGUUUCUUAGCGUUCGAUUGCCUCAAGUACAGUCAUGCUGUGGCUUUACUGGGAAGAAAAUAUGAUGUCCAGUUCAUGUUCGAGACCUUUUGCAUAUGGAAUUCCAUAUGGUACGUUUAAUUUGUUUAUAUUAGUGACAUGACUGCAAAAUUUGUUGUUUGUUUACAUCAUUUUUAUGAGUCCUCCAUUAUCUCUUUUACUGUCUUAUUUAUUUCCCCCUCUUCAAUAAUUUUUUUUUAUUUAACCAAAAGCAAAAACCGUGUCUUCCUCUUCUAACAGCAAAUAAUUAAGUGCCUAAUUCUUUCAUUGCUUAAACAAGCAAAGAGAACUCCAAACUUUUAUAAACGAAAAUGACAAAAAGCCAUUAAUUUCAGAAUUUCUAUAUGAUAAAAUAAACAAAUAUAUAUUACUUAUUAUUAUUAAUAAAAAUAUUAUCUGUUUUUUUUCUUCUCUAAAAUUCUCCCCAAAUGGCCAUAGAAUCAUACUAGUUUUUUCUUUUUCCCCAUAAUCUAACCCGAGACAAAGUCCUAAAACAAUCAAUUUAAACGAUAACACAAACAGAGUUUGUUUCGCUGUGGUUGUGCUUUGACAUUCAAAGUGCUAGUCGGUGGGUGUACAAGAAUUUUGCUUAACACUAAAUUUUUAAUACCAGAAAAGUAAGAUGUAGACACACGGUUCAAAAAAUCUAUAGCCUAAAAUAGUAUAGGAAGAAUCUAUUUAUUACUCAUCAAAGGAGUUGUAUCAUCAAGAAUGUAUAGCCUAAAAUACGUUCUCUGAAAAGUAAUAUCUGUUAAUCAUAUAGACAGAAAAAAUUAUAGGGAGAAAGGCUUUGUAUACACAUCGAAUGGCUCGCAGGCAGUUAAUUGCGGCUCCUGCAACAAAGCAAAACAGAAUGGUACAUCAGUCUCUAUAAAUUCAUUAAAACCAACGAGUUGGAUGCCAAUACACUAACGAGCCUGUCACAAGAUCAUUUGGUGCGUGCUCAUGCCUUGAAGUCAAGUGCAAAUUGAACUUGUCUCUAUGCUUUCCUAUAGAAAACUCGAGUGGAAAUUUACCCCUAUUUCCAUAUGUUGGUAUUACUAUAUCAUCAUUUAAUUUCAAAAACUACUAAAAACAAGUCGUGCAAGCUGAUACCUGUCUCAACCCGCCAGUGUCACUGCCUCCUGUCAGAAGCAUCCCAAGGAGAGAUGUAACACCACCACCACCACCACCAAGGAGAGAUGUAACACCACCACCAAGGCCACUACCACUACCUGUACUUCGAAGAGUAGAACGCAUAGAAUUGAGUAUGCUUCCAUAUGUGCCCGCUUGUCCACGUUCAAUUGCUUGGAUGAAGCAGAAAGUCAUGGCACCUGUUGACGUGAUCUUUGAUAGAGCCUGUUCCCAAUAAAGCAUGAGAUCAGACAUGCUCUACUUGAGAUUUAAACUAUAAUUUUAUAAACUCUAGACCUCUUUUAUCUUUUCAAACUUACAGAUGUAUCAGCAGAAGUCUGAUCAUCAUCACAACCACUGAACGAAAUGACUUCUCCUCCACUUGUGCCUUUCCAUACACCUGAUCGAGGGCGAUGAUCCUCCCAUACAUAUCGUCCAUUCCUAAAUCAAGAAAGGAAAUUUAUCCGUAGUAAGAAAUCCCUACUUUAGACAAGGAGUAAUCAAGUAGGUAGACACAGAAAGGAAACUUAUCCAUAGUAAGAAAUCCCUACCUAUUGCAGAUUGUUAAAAAAAUUUAAUGGAAAGGAAACUAACCUGUCCAUUCGACAAAGGAAUGGCAAAUCUAGUACAGUGCCGCUAUGACAAGCAUCUAUUAUUGCAUGAAGCUUAACCCCAUGAGGAAUGGGCCUUACAAUCACUGCAUUUAUCUCAUCAUCAACAAUCAUACCCUGAGUUUCGAAGUCAAGGGGACAAAGGGUUUCAUCAUAUCCAUCUACUUCAUCACCAUUAUAAUUCCUCUGUCGUGAACCAUGACCAGAGUAAUGAAACAGGAGGGAGUCACCAGGUUGACAGCCUUGUACAAGCCAAUGUAAUGCCAUUCUAAUGUUGUAUUUGUUUGGAAUCUUGGAUGGGUGAGUUUCUUCUUCUGCAGUUCAAAAUAUGGGUACAAAUUAUGAGUAGACAUGUUAUUAAACAUAAGAAAAAGAAAUAUAUUCACCAAAGGGUUUGGAAAUUGAAUUAGAGCAUCAAGAAAAAUUGAAAAUUACUGUGUAUUUGAAUGCUAAUUAUUCUAUAUUGAAAAGACAAGAACUUUCAAAAAGAAAAAUGGAAUCAAACUACUUCUUUAAAACUUUUAGCAGAUCAGUUCCUACACAAACAUUUUCUCUGUGUCACUUUGUCAGAAGAAGAAGGAGAGAAAUUCUGAUAUUGGGAGGGCAAAAGACUAUCGAAGAAAUAUAUAUUAUAUAAAUCAUUAGUGUUACAUAUAUAUAUAUAUAUAUAUAUAUACAUACACAUAUAUACACAUAUGAAGACACCUACAAAAUGAUACACCAGCAGAAAUGUUCCUUUUUAUCAACUACCGAUGAUGAGCAGAGUGAAGCCACAUGACAAAAAACUACUUAACGUGAUUUUAGUGCUUUCAACUGUUAAAUGACAACAAUACAAAAGCUGCAAAAUUUUAAUUCUGAUAGAACCAAAAAAAAAAAAAAAAAGAUCCUGUAAAUACUCAAGCCGUCUGCCUGCCUUCAGUUGGAAUAAAUGUUCCCCAUGCACAUAUCUACUACUCGCCAUAGGCCAUCUCAAGUUUUAUUCUCUUAGUUAUUUUUCAGAAGUGCACUAAGCCAAAUAUCACACACAGCCAUAGGGCACUCUACGUCCUAGAUCAGCUCUGUGAUAUCCUACAAACAAGAUCUACACGGUUCCUGUGAACUGUACAAGCUCAGCUUGAGAGAGUCACAAAAAGAUCCAAGGUCCAGAAAAGAAUUAAGUCCAUUGAUGAUCUAACUAUCAAAUCAUGCACAACAAAUUGUACCUACAAGUUCCCAUACAACACGCCUUUUAUCAGGCUAAUUGUCAGUAACUGAUUUGUUCAGCUAGACAGCACCUUAAGUUUAUCGUUUUCCAGAUAAGUAAUUUCUUGUGAUGUUCUUGAAAGAAGCUCAAGAGUCAUAGAAUGAUUACUAAAAUCAAAGUGUCUUCUACAAUUAGUUAGGUACAUAAUAUACCAUAUAUAAUGCACGCAUUGCGAAUUCAACUCCUAGUUGUUAACAGAAUUUUGGGUUGUUCUUUCUUCUUUAUCCCCACAAGCACAAAUUUCCCUUUAAAUGCCCAAAAACCCUUCACUAAUAUCUUCACUUCUCUGCUAAGUUAAAUGGCCAAACAUCCUAUUUGGAACUUCUAAUUGAUAGGAUUCACAGCUGCUUUUCUCAUCCAAACCUUCUUCUCACAAACACUAGCCAAACAUAUCAUAAAUGAUCCACUUUCCUACUUGAAACUUGUACCUGCAAUAUUCAGCUGCAUAUCUCAUCCUAACUGAUGCAGGAGCAUCUACAAGGCUGUCCAAGACUGCUUGAGCCCACUAGCGAACUAGGUUAGGGUUCUAGUUAAUUUGGGGAUUUUAAUUACUUUAUUAUCUUCUUAUUUGUCACAUUUGCUUUUAUGCCUUACGUUAUUGAAGUAGUCGUAGUAGGGCUAGGAUUUAUUUAAGUAGUCCUAGCAGAACUAGGAUUAGUAAGUUUCUUAAUAGCUAAAAAACAGACUAUUAAGAGAGACUCUGUAUACAGUUUUUAUCAAUUUCAUUUAAAAAAAUCAGAUUAAAGAUCCAUGCAGACAUGGAUACAGAAAAUUAGACCUCAUAAAUUCUGUAACCAAUAAAAGAUCCAAUUCAGUUAUACGUAAAAUCAGGCAAAAAGGCUCUCCACCCCUAUAUAUUUCCUACCCAUCAUAGUAUGGCCAAGGUUGGCUUUAUAUUUUCCUGAUUCUGAAGACAUGCGCUUCCUUUGCCAUAUUGUGUCCAAAAAGCAUUUGAAAAUGAAAGUUGCCAGUACUUUUCAGUAGAAUUACUGAACACAAUUACAAAGUUUUAACCUUUAAGGAACAUAUUUCUUAACUCAUCAUUGGAUUUUGGCUUUUCAUCACCCUGUUCCUCAGUUUUUGGUUUAUUUGCAGUCUGACCAAGUGAAAGGAUAUUCCUGGGAGUUGCAAAUGUGUUCCUACCCCUCAGCUGGACAUUGUCGCUUCCUCGAGUAUGAGUAGACUGCAGUGCUCGAUGUGCCCUAGAUCCAUUGGAGGUCUCAGCAGAUUCCCUAG
rnacentral:lncRNA from 1 species